rnacentral:rRNA from 1 species
UACGUAGGGUGCGAGCGUUAAUCGGAAUUACUGGGCGUAAAGCGUGCGCAGGCGGUUCGUUAAGUCAGAUGUGAAAGCCCCGGGCUCAACCUGGGAACUGCAUUUGAAACUGGCGGGCUUGAGUGUGACAGAGGGGGGUGGAAUUCCGCGUGUAGCAGUGAAAUGCGUAGAGAUGCGGAGGAACACCGAUGGCGAAGGCAGCCCCCUGGGCCAACACUGACGCUCAGGCACGAAAGCGUGGGGAGCAAACAGG